rnacentral:rRNA from 1 species
GACGAACGCUGGCGGCGUGCUUAACACAUGCAAGUCGUACGGUAAGGCCCUUUCGGGGGUACACGAGUGGCGAACGGGUGCGUAACACGUGAGUAACCUUCCCACAACUUUGGGAUAACGCUAGGAAACUGGUGCUAAUACUGGAUAUGUGCUCCUGCUGCAUGGUGGGGGUUGGAAAGCUCCGGCGGUUGUGGAUGGACUCGCGGCCUAUCAGCUUGUUGGUGGGGUAGUGGCCUACCAAGGCGGCGACGGGUAGCCGGCCUGAGGGGGUGACCGGCCACAUUGGGACUGAGAUACGGCCCAGACGCCUACGGGAGGCAGCAGUGGGGAAUAUUGCACAAUGGGCGCAAGCCUGAUGCAGCAACGCCGCGUGCGGGAUGACGGCCUUCGGGUUGUAAAACGCUUUCAGCAGGGACGAAGCUUUUUGUGACGGUACCUGCAGAAGAAGCACCGGCUAACUACGUG